AGAAUUCAGAGCCGGCUCUGUCUGGGGCGGCCCAGGCCUCAGCCCCAGCAUUCCUGACCCCCUCCCCCCAAGCCUGGGACAGCUGCUCCGGAACUCAGCAACUGGCUGGGGAUCGAAUCCCAAUUCAGCUUUUCCAGAGGCUCGGCCAUUUCUCCAUGAUGACACAGAAGUACGGCGCUCUCAGGUCCUUACCUCAUAAUCCACAUGCAAUUGGAUUGCAGAGCAUUUGUGGGACACAAGAGGAACAACAGACCAAGACCCUUGAACCUCCCACAGAGAAGCUCCAGGCAGUCGCAUCCUUCAGGGUGUCUCUCCCUGUGUCAUUUGCUGCAGCUGGCUUUUCAGGGCUGGGGAUGGAACUCUGGGACUCCUGCAUGUUGAGGAAGGAAGACCAACCCUGAGUAUGGGAAGCACAGUUCCAUGGGAUGAUGCUCUAGACUGAAUAAUGGAGAGCACCAACAUUCAUCUCUCUCUGCUCCCUGGAAGUGGAUGCAACAGGGCCUGCUGCUUCCCACUCUGUAGCCACCCACCCUGUCUGUACCAUCAGCGACUGUAUCCCUCAAACUGUGGACCGAAAGCCCUUCCUCCGUUAAGUUGCUUUUGGGGGAGGUGUUUUGUCAUAGCAAUAAGAAAAGUAACCAGCAGAGCAUGGUGGUGCACACCUUUAUUUAGUCCCAACACUUGGGAGGCAGAGGCAAUCUGACCUCUGUGAGUUCAAAGACAGCCUGGUCUACAGAGUGAGUUCCAGGCCAGCCAGAGACCUUGUCACCCAAACAGCAAAAUAAAAUAAGUCAUUAAUACCUAACUAGAAUGUGGACUGGGUUGCUAAAAGGUCUCCAUUUUAAUUCUUGCUCUCCACUGGGCCAGAGCUAUGAUACUAAAUCCUUUACCUACAGAAAGCUUAGUGGCUGGGAGAUAGGAGAGAAAUGGAGAUUUGAGGGGUUGGGGAUUUAGCUCAGUGGUAGAGCGCUUGCCUAACAAGCACAUGGCCCUGGGUUCAGUCCUCAGUUCUGAAAAAUAAAAAAAGACAAAAUAACAAGAAAUGGAGAUUUGCAUUGAUUGUGUACCCUGUGCCAUUAUUAUUAUUAUUAUUAUUAUCAUCAUCAUCAUCAUCAUCAUCAUCUAUGGGUGGAUUGCCUAUAUGUGUGUCCAUGUUCUUUGCAGGCAGUACCUGAGGAGGCCAGUAGAGGGCGAAGGAUCCCCUGGAAAUGUAGUUAGAGAUGGUUGGUAGCUGCUAUAUGGGAGCUGGGAACCAAUCCUGGGGCCUCUGAAGAGCAGCCAACCCUCUCAGCAGCCAAGGCAUCUCUCCAGCCUCUCAUCGUGUGCCCUUGUAG